rnacentral:rRNA from 1 species
AGGACGAACGCUGGCGGCGUGCUUAACACAUGCAAGUCGAACGAAGCAGCAGUGAAGGAGGCUUCGGCCAAUGGAACUGUUGACUUAGUGGCGGACGGGUGAGUAACGCGUGAGCAACCUGCCUUUCAGAGGGGGAUAACGUUUGGAAACGAACGCUAAUACCGCAUGACAUAACGGUAUCGCAUGGUAUUGUUAUCAAAGGAGCAAUCCGCUGAGAGAUGGGCUCGCGUCCGAUUAGAUAGUUGGUGGGGUAACGGCCUACCAAGUCGACGAUCGGUAGCCGGACUGAGAGGUUGAACGGCCACAUUGGGACUGAGACACGGCCCAGACUCCUACGGGAGGCAGCAGUGGGGAAUAUUGCACAAUGGGCGCAAGCCUGAAUGCAGCAACGCCGCGUGAGGGAAGACGGUUUUCGGAUUGUAAACCUCUGUCCUUGGUGAAGAUAAUGACGGUAGCCGAGGAGGAAGCCACGGCUAACUACGUGCCAGCCGCUGC